GAGUUUGAUCAUGGCUCAGGAUGAACGCUGGCGGCGUGCCUAACACAUGCAAGUCGAGCGGAGUUUAUGAGGAAGAAGCUUCGGCGGAAUUCUUAUAAACUUAGUGGCGGACGGGUGAGUAACACGUGGAGAACCUGCCUCUUACCGGGGGACAGCAGUUGGAAACGACUGAUAAUACCGCAUAAGCGCACGAGACCGCAUGGUCCUGUGUGAAAAGAUUUAUCGGUAAGAGAUGGCUCCGCGUCUGAUUAGCCAGUUGGCGGGGUAACGGCCCACCAAAGCGACGACCAGUAGCCGGCCUGAGAGGGUGAACGGCCACAUUGGGACUGAGACACGGCCCAGACUCCUACGGGAGGCGAGCAGUGGGGGAUAUUGCACAAUGGAGGAAACUCUGAUGCAGCGACGCCGCGUGAGUGAAG
rnacentral:rRNA from 1 species